GCUGAUCCCCGCUGAGUAUGUUUGCUAUCAACGCAACCCGGUGUGUAGAGUACUGUAUUUGUUAGUAGCUGCAGUAUGAUUAAAAAAUGCAUUGUGCUUUAGACUAAUGGUGAAUAAGCAAAAAUGCUUGUCAAUUCGGAUGUAAUAUUGGUAUAUUUACCGUAAAUGGCGUAUUUGUGUUUUUUUUUUCUCCAACACAAUGUCUGGAGUCCCAGUGUUGGAUACGCUCUUCCUACUUAUGUCCUUGAGCGAGACACUGAGCCUUCACUUCCAGUGUGUUUUCCUGCUCCCUCAGGGAGGUGCCACGUCAUGCCUGAAGCUCCAGAGCAUUCACAGUCUCGCUCAAGGAUGCUUCAACCAGGACCUACGCCCGCUGUCAAGUGGCUUGAACCCAGGUCUUCCAGACGAAGGUCGCUCCACUUAAUCACUGCCUCUGCAGAAUGGGAGCGUCAUGAUAUAUGUAACCAGACCACUGACAGGGUUUUGGACAAGAUUUUGGCAGAGAAGCCCUUUUUGUUUGCGGCACCUCCAACUUGUUUCUGGCGGUUUGCAGCUCCUCUCGUCUCCACGAGCGCUGGCGCCGGUGGAGCUGCGCUAAUAGAACAUGGCCGCGCGCCCGUUUUGGCACCGUGUCACUUAUCGACAGAGCAGCGGACACUUUCUCAACUCCAAAUUCUUGCCGCGGGACAUUUUCUGGCAGGAGGAAUCAGUGCUGAAAGCCACACGCGCGCUCGGAGAGGACGCAUGAGGCGCAGACGUGGUGGCGGUGGGCGGGAGGUGCGAACAUGUAAAUGACAGGCGUGUGGACCAGAAUAACCAGGCAGCAUGUGCCGCGGUUCCCCUCCCCUCACACGCAUGAGUGCAGGAGGGAGAGGAAGAAGGUCAAACUGCACCACAGGCCUAAUUUAGACCCUCUAGUUUCCAGCAUCACUGAUCUGCUUCAUUCAUCUGCAAUCACGCUCACCUCUUGCCUCUUGUUGUUAACUCAGUUAAUUACUUGAGUAAUUAUGGAUGUGACACUGCAG
rnacentral:lncRNA from 1 species